UGGGGAAUAUUGCACAAUGGGGGAAACCCUGAUGCAGCGACGCCGCGUGAGCGAAGAAGGCUUUCGAGUCGUAAAGCUCUGUCCUAUGAGAAGAUAAUGACGGUAUCAUAGGAGGAAGCCCUGGCUAAAUACGUGCCAGCAGCCGCGGUAAUACGUAUGGGGCGAGCGUUGUCCGGAAUUAUUGGGCGUAAAGGGUACGUAGGCGGUAAGACAAGUUGAAGGUGAAAACCUGUGGCUCAACCAUAGGCUUGCCUACAAAACUGUUGAACUAGAGUACUGGAAAGGUGGGUGGAACUACACGAGUAGAGGUGAAAUUCGUAGAUAUGUGUAGGAAUGCCGAUGAUGAAGAUAACUCACUGGACAGAAACUGACGCUGAAGUGCGAAAGCUAGGGGAGCAAACAGG
rnacentral:rRNA from 1 species